GAUGACCCUAAAUUACAUCCCCAAAACGUAACCAGCAUCAUCGACCUAUUUGCUGAAGAUUUAUUCGAGAAAUCAGAUGUUAGAGCAGGCUGUGGAGAUUUUCGAGAAAAUGAAGGACAAUUUUUGGCUGUGAGUCGUAAUAUAGUUUAACGAAUGCGUUUGUGGCUUUAAAUGAACUGAUUUUAAAGGAAUUUUAGGGUUAUGAGUGCAUCUCCGAAUUCAGAAACUUUUAAUAUAGUAUUGCUCAAAAUCGCUUGUAGAGAGAGGGAAUUCGGCAAGGCGAGAGGCUGAUUGAUGUUGGCUCUGAACAGUAGUUUGAAGUGUGGAAAAUUGAUCUAUUGUUGGGGAUAGUGCAAGUCUGGGGAUAUUGUUGGGGCAGAGGGGGUUUAUUUGAGUAUGAUGAAACUUGAAGAGCUAUUUGAUCACAACUCAUGGAAUUUUAGUUCACUAGCUUUGUGAGAAUGAAUACAUUUUAAAUGUAUUGAAGACUGCUGAGGAGAAAGGAUGUGUUCUUGAUUGUUUUGCUUAUUAAGCAAUGGGUUAGAUAAUUUCCCCCAAGGGAAGAUCACAAAUUCUGAAUUAAAGCAAGUUAUGUUGACUCCAGAAGAAUUGAGUGAUCAGUCCCGCCAAAAUAACUCCAAGAAACGCUACCUUCCUCCAGUCAGGCGAUGAAGAUACUGAGGCAUCAGCAAUUCCAAUAACGACCAACCCCAUCAGAGCAAGUUCAGUUCACAAGGGAAGAAGAAAAAUACCCUGGCACCAGCUUCAUCCAAUUCCUUGAGGGCAUUUUCUCCAAUCAGGUCGAUUUCGGCAUUGGCUUCCUCGGCAAACUGGGUUAGAUAUUCCGAUCUUUCGUCCAAGAAAU